rnacentral:rRNA from 1 species
UGGCUCAGAGCGAACGCUAGCGGCAGGCUUAACACAUGCAAGUCGAACGAAGUUCUUCGGAACUUAGUGGCGAACGGGUGAGUAACACGUAGGUAAUGUACCCUUUGGUGGAGGAUAACUCAGGGAAACCUGAGCUAAUACUGCAUAUGUCCUUCGGGAUAAAAGUCUUCGGACGCCUUAGGAGCAGCCUGCGGCCCAUUAUCUAAUCCUAGUUGGUAGGGUAACGGCCUACCAAGGGUACGAUGGGUAGCUGGUCUGAGAGGAUGAUCAGCCACACUGGGACUGAGACACGGCCCAGACUCCUACGGGAGGCAGCAGUGGGGAAUAUUGCGCAAUGGGGGAAACCCUGACGCAGCCAUGCCGCGUGUGUGAUGAAGGCCCUCGGGUCGUAAAGCACUGUCGGGAGGGACGAAGAUCUGACGGUACCUCGCAAGAAAGCACCGGCUAACUCCGUG